AGCGGUAGCACAGAGAGCUUGCUCUCGGGUGACGAGCGGCGGACGGCGUGAGUAAUGUCUGGGAAACUGCCUGAUGGAGGGGGAUAACUACUGGAAACGGUAGCUAAUACCGCAUAAUGUCGCAAGACCAAAGUGGGGGACCUUCGGGCCUCAUGCCAUCAGAUGUGCCCAGAUGGGAUUAGCUAGUAGGUGGGGUAACGGCUCACCUAGGCGACGAUCCCUAGCUGGUCUGAGAGGAUGACCAGCCACACUGGAACUGAGACACGGUCCAGACUCCUACGGGAGGCAGCAGUGGGGAAUAUUGCACAAUGGGCGCAAGCCUGAUGCAGCCAUGCCGCGUGUGUGAAGAAGGCCUUCGGGUUGUAAAGCACUUUCAGCGGGGAGGAAGGCGGUGAGGUUAAUAACCUCAUCGAUUGACGUUACCCGCAGAAGAAGCACCGGCUAACUCCGUGCCAGCAGCCGCGGUAAUACGGAGGGUGCAAGCGUUAAUCGGAAUUACUGGGCGUAAAGCGCACGCAGGCGGUCUGUCAAGUCGGAUGUGAAAUCCCCGGGCUCAACCUGGGAACUGCAUUCGAAACUGGCAGGCUAGAGUCUUGUAGAGGGGGGUAGAAUUCCAGGUGUAGCGGUGAAAUGCGUAGAGAUCUGGAGGAAUACCGGUGGCGAAGGCGGUCCCCUGGACAAAGACUGACGCUCAGGUGCGAAAGCGUGGGGAGCAAACAGGAUUAGAUACCCUGGUAGUGCACGCCGUAAACGAUGUCGAUUUGGACGUUGUGUCCUUGAUGCGUGUCUUGCGGAGCUAACGCGUUACAUCGACCGCCUGGGAGUACCGACGCCAAGUUGUAACUCAAAUGAUUUGACGGGGGGC
rnacentral:rRNA from 1 species